UACGUAGGGUGCAAGCGUUAAUCGGAAUUACUGGGCGUAAAGCGUGCGCAGGCGGUUUUGUAAGUCAGAUGUGAAAUCCCCGGGCUUAACCUGGGAACUGCGUUUGAAACUACAAGGCUAGAGUGUGGCAGAGGGGGGUGGAAUUCCGACGUGUAGCAGUGAAAUGCGUAGAGAUGUGGAGGAACACCGAUGGCGAAGGCAGCCCCCUGGGCUGAGAUUGACGCUCAGGCACGAAAGCGUGGGAGCAAACAGG
rnacentral:rRNA from 1 species